UUCAUUGCGAUUAGAUGUGUUCUCGUCAUCCGGGGCUCAGGCUUCAUUAACAAGCUACUGCAGUAGCAACACGUGCAUGGUCAAUUGUGUAUAUAGCAAUGGCCACCGGUUUGUCGAACGUUCGAGGUCGCCCAACGCACAGAGCCGCAUCAGCAAUGGCGAGUGCCGGCGCCAUGCCGAUAUCAUGCAAUGCCAACCUCGUGGCCGAGUCCUUUAGCCACCGUCUGAGAACCCAAGGUUACGGCGUCACGAGUCUCCCUGCAGCAUUUAGAGGAAGCCUUUUACUUUUACAUCAUACCGGGAAUAUUUGAAAAACUGAAAGAAUGUAGAGCUCGAGUAAUAGUAUGCCUUCGUCCUGACCUCAGGAGCUGUGGCUGUGUUAACACAGUGACAAGUUAGGUGUGAUGAUGAUUUCGUAUGCAUGAGAUACGUGCCGUUCUUACAAUCCAGCAAAGCAUAAUAAAUGUCGGUGCCAUCAUUAGGAACACCAUAGCAGACACUGCCGUGCUCUAGCUAAUUAUUUACAAAAUAACACAAGUGUACUUCUGCAGCUUGGGAAGAAGUUCGUGCUGGAGAUGUUGAGUACAUAAUGCUGUUAAGACCAAGCUCACCCCACGACUUUGUCCAAGGUGCAGAUACUUCCCUCUGGUGAUGCAGAUUUGUCCAGUACUUGUAAAGAGCGAUAAGUAACUAUUAGUUAAUUUUAUUUUCAUCGAAUCAAUUCUUUAUGUCUACGGUGUUAUUGUUCAUACGCUGUUUAAGUAACUUAUCUACCAACACAUUGUAACAAAUAGUGAUAGGUUUUUAAUCCUUCCGUUCAUAUGCACUAAUGAGCAGUUAAUAGAUUAAACUCUGAACAACCGAUUUUAGUUAAUAAGAUACCCAAAGAAUAAUUGAGCAUUCUCAAGUUAAAAAUUUGUACUUCUGUGUUAGUAUAGAAUAUUUUAAUACUUUUAUCAAAA